UUAUAGGCUGCUCCAGUUUAACUCCAUUUAGACAAACCCAAAAAGAACCUUUUAUUUGUAUUCCGUUUUUCAAGCUGCAAGUUUUUAAUACAUCACUGUAAAGUAAACCUGUGGUUGGUUGCAAAGGAAGAAUACCGUGGGCUUUCCCUUUUUGCCCAGUUUUCCAGAAAUGUCCUCACCUUGGUCAUAGCCAGUCUUUUGACAAAGUAAGCAGCAUUCGAUGAGGGGGUGGGAGGUGGGGGGGCUCUUUAUUCCAGCUUCCAAUUCAAGAUGUAGAGAGCUACAAUGUCUAAACCUAUUGAAUUGCUCCUUUAGUCCUUGAGACAUUAUUUCUCAGAAGCAGCCACUUAAUCUCUCAACCUUUGUUUUCCCUCUUUGACCAUAAGAGUUUAUAAAUCAGAGGGUUAUUUUGUUGCGGAGAUUUUGUUUUGUUUUUACUCCUGCAAGUUUUACAACUCAAAAUAAAUUAUAAAAAACAACAGACCUCUGAAACCCAACAGGACAAAAUUGUGCAAAAAUAACAAAGAUAUGUACAUACUUUUCAAUCUGAAGAAAUGUACAAUAAAAACAUAAUUCAAAGAACAGUUUAAAAAUAUAAACAUUGCUUAAACUUUCCUAAGUUUCAUAUUGUUUCUGAAACUAUUCUGGUCAGUUAGCUCUGCAAUAUAGUAAAACAUAAAUUAUUACAAAAUUAACACUAUAAAAAUUUACUUUAAGAAUAUCUUCUAAAUUUUUUUUCAAAGGGUCUAACCUUGUUUAUAAUUUCUUAAACAUUUAUAAGUCUUAAAAUCUGCCUUAACUUUUUUUUUUUUAAAAAGAAAAAGUAACAAUCGUCCCUUCACUUUGCAGUCUCUUUCCCCAAGACGUAAAUAAACCAGCAUAUAAGUGCACUUUUAACACUGCAGAAAUAAAAAUGAAAUCAUCCGAACUAAUGUCCUGGUACUUAAUAUCAACUCCUGAUUUUUAAAAAAAUCAUUUCGUAUGAAAAAAUUUAGUAAUCCUAUAUGAAACACUCACUGUCAGUGCAAUUCCAUUGAUGCAAAUCACUCCAUUUACCUCCCGUCUUUGCAAUUCCAAUUGUGUGGUGAAACCUAACAGUGGUCUGAUCUUUGGGUUGGGGGAAUGCGAAAGAAAAGGAAAACUUUUGGUUGGGGAUGAGGGUUCUGCCCAGCUGUGAAACUAGCAUUCAUUUCUGAUUUAGGGAUGAAGCAAAAUCUCCCAGUAUCUCUGCUAUACAUCGUAUGCAAAGUUACAUGAUUAAUAGCACAGAACACCUAUUUUAUGUUGUGAAUUCCUUUCCUGAUUAUGAUUCCCUACUAGAGCUGACGGUAUUGCUGUUUUUUUCAAAACUCCAGUGUGAAUAGUUCUAUGGCUGCAGGGCUCCAGCAUGGCUCUUCCAAAUGGCUGUUCUUCACUGAGCAGUGGCUAUCCUUACCAUUCCUUCUUGGGGAUGGCUGUCUCUAACACAGCAAAAGCUGAUCCAUGGAUUCCUGACCAGCUCAGACCACCACAGUCCCCAGUUUUUUUUUUAGGGGUCAUCUCCUAGCCACCAUGCUCUGUUUGCUGCCACCUUCCCAAACCUGUUCUGGCCCCUGUCCCUGACUGGUUUAUCCUUUCUGAGCUGCACAGCUGGCCAGUGGUAUUAGGUAAACCACAUGACUAAAUGGCCACUGUUCUCAAUCUUGCUUCUAGCAUUUGGCUCCAGCCAUGGUGGGCUGUGGAAACCCGAUGAGGGAACCCCACCCACCCUCCAACUCUCCACUCUCAGCUCCUCCCCAGCAAAGUCCCCUCUCCCUGCAGGCAGUCCUGAGGGGAUCCUAGGAGAGCCAGGUCCUUUGAAGGCCAGUGAGGACCCAGAGAGUGGCAGAUGUGGGGACGGAAGGGAUCGUGUGGAGAGG
ensembl:lncRNA